GAUGGGAGCUUGCUCCCAGGCGUCGAGCGGCGGACGGGUGAGUAACACGUGGGAAUCUGCCCAUUAGUGGGGGAUAACUCGGGGAAACUCGAGCUAAUACCGCAUAAUCCCUACGGGGGAAAGCAGGGGAUCUUCGGACCUUGCGCUGAUGGAUGAGCCCGCGUCGGAUUAGCUUGUUGGUGGGGUAAUGGCCCACCAAGGCGACGAUCCGUAACUGGUCUGAGAGGAUGGCCAGUCACACCGGGACUGAGACACGGCCCGGACUCCUACGGGAGGCAGCAGUGGGGAAUCUUGGACAAUGGGCGCAAGCCUGAUCCAGCCAUGCCGCGUGUGUGAAGAAGGCCUUCGGGUUGUAAAGCACUUUCAGUAGGGAGGAAGGCUUUGGGCUAAUACCCUGGAGUACUUGACGUUACCUACAGAAGAAGCACCGGCUAAUUUCGUGCCAGCAGCCGCGGUAAUACGAAAGGUGCGAGCGUUAAUCGGAAUUACUGGGCGUAAAGCGCGCGUAGGCGGUGUGUUAAGUCGGAUGUGAAAGCCCAGGGCUCAACCUUGGAAUUGCAUCCGAUACUGGCACGCUAGAGUGCAGUAGAGGGAGGUGGAAUUUCCGGUGUAGCGGUGAAAUGCGUAGAGAUCGGAAGGAACACCAGUGGCGAAGGCGGCCUCCUGGACUGACACUGACGCUGAGGUGC
rnacentral:rRNA from 1 species